UACGUAGGGUGCGAGCGUUGUCCGGAAUUACUGGGCAUAAAGAGCUCGUAGGUGGUUUGUCGCGUUGUUCGUGAAAACUCACAGCUCAACUGUGGGCGUGCGGGCGAUACGGGCAGACUGGAGUACUGCAGGGGAGACUGGAAUUCCUGGUGUAGCGGUGGAAUGCGCAGAUAUCAGGAGGAACACCGGUGGCGAAGGCGGGUCUCUGGGCAGUAACUGACGCUGAGGAGCGAAAGCGUGGGGAGCGAACAGG
rnacentral:rRNA from 1 species